CUAGGAGGCAGAUGGAGACAGCAUCCUUCCCUCUUUACAGGACUCCGUUGUCUUUACUGAUCUCUGUAAAUCACACAUGAUGGCUCUGCUUGGUUAGACAAGUAGAAACCAGCUUUCAGACCUUAAGGGGAUUUAGGAGAGAUUUUUUGUUUUCCCUAGGGAGUUACAAAUGUUAACCAAGUCAUCCCAUUUGAAAUGGCAGCUGAAGAAAUAGAGUCACAGAUUUUGCAAAUGAUAGCAAGUUCUUUCAGUCAAAUUCUCUGCAAUCCAUAAGGACUUCACCAAACUGAGCUCGCACUGAGAUGGCAGAUGACCUUUAAUAUAGAUAAACACAGGGCAAAGGACCUAGGAAAAAAUGAUCUCUACCAAAUUUAGAACAAAGAGUUACAACUUAGGAAAGACAUCUUGGAGCCAUUGCUGAUGGCUGUCUGAAAUCAUCAGCUCAGUAUGUGAUGGCAAGCAAAAGUCAAUAAAAUGUUGGAGCUCCUAAGAAAGUUAUUGGGAACAGGACAGAGGGUGUAAUGUUGCUGCUAUAUUAAAAAUUAAAUACACACACACAAAAAAACUGUGUUCUUGUAGUAGAGGAAAAAGGAAGCAAAACUUGUUGGAGGGCUGAAGCUGCUAUCUUACAGACUGAAAACACUGGGAUUUUGGUCUGAAGAGAAGGAGGCAAUGGAGGGGUGUAAUCGUGAUUUACAAAGUGAUGAGUGUGCUGAUUGAACUGCUCUUGCAUCUUGUUUCCCAGAUCGUGAUAUAGGAUCUAGGAACAUUGGAGGCAACCAGCAAAAGAUGAACUUAAAGCAGAAAAUAAAGUACUUGCUUACACAGAUGCUGUAAGAAAGCUGCACUACAUUGGUAGAGCACUGGACCUGGACAAGCUCAAAAAGCAGCCCCACGAGAACCUAUUGAGAUUCAACAAGGCCAAGUGCAAGAUGUUCAACUUGGGUGACAGCAGUCCCAGAUAUGAGUACAGACUGGGACAAGAGCUCAUUGGGAACAGUCCUGCACAGAAAGACUGGGAGGUCCUGAUGGACAAAAAGCUGGACACAAGUCAGCAGUGUGCUCUUGCCACCCAGAAGGCCAACAGUAUCUUGGGCUGCAUCAAAAGAGGGGUGGCCAGCCGGGCAAGGGAGGUGAUCGUCUCCCAUCUACUUUGCCCUUCUAGAGCUCCAUCUGGAGUACUGUGUCCAGAUCUGGAAGUACAGGAAGGAUAUGGAGCUGUUGGAGCUGGUCCAGAGGAGGGCCAGGAAGAUGAUCAGGGGUCAGAAGCAUCUCUCCUGUGAAAAAAGGUUGAGGGAGUUGGGCUUGUUUAGCUUGGAGAAGAGAAGGCUCUGAGGAGAACUCAUUGAAGCAUCCCAGUACUUGAAGGGAGCUUGUAAGCAGGAUGGGGACUGACUUUUUACAUGGUUUGAUAGUGAUAGGACGAGAGAGAAUGGCUUUAAACUAAAAUAGCUGAAAUUUAGGUUGGAUGUUGGGAAGAAAUUCUUUACCCAGAGGAUGGUGAGGCACUGGCACAGGCUGCCAAGAGAAGCUGUGAGUGCCCCAUCCCUGGAGACAUUCAAAGUCAUGUUGGAUGGGGCCCUGGAUAGGCCCCCAGCCUUGAGCUGGUGGGUGGCAGCCUUGCCUGCAGCAGGGGUGCAGAAACUAGACAAUCUGUAAGGUCCCUUCCAACUUAAGCCAUUCUGUGAUUCUAUGAUUCCAUGACAGUAGUUUAUUUUCCAAACAGUCAUUCACAGGUUUAUCCACGUGGGAACAGAAGACUUCACCAAGAAAAUGCAGUGUCUCAGUGGGAGCAACAUGCCUCAUGAAUUAUUUGGGGUUGUAGUUUUAAAAACAUGUAUGUGAUGUAAAAGUCUCAACCCCAUUGCUUUAAGUGCUGAAGAGCAAGCUGCUCAGAGGCCUGAAUGAUGACUGUUGUGUACAUUGCCAUGCCUAUCUUCAGGCUCAGCACUCAAGCUGGUGUUUUCUGACUGGAUGCAAUGAGAGGGAAGCUAAGGCGUCCAGUUCACAGAAGGUAUCUAUCUCCAUACAAGUACCCUGUAACAAUAUAAUGGAAGAGGUUCCAAGAAGCACAUAUCAAAUAUUUAGGAAACAAUUUGCUGCUACUUUUGCUUCUGUUUCUGUUUUUAAUUGAACUGGUCCUGCGCACUAAACCCUUAAGAGGGUUUAAUCUCAAGAAGUUUAUAUAGUUUAUAUAGAAGUUUAUAUAUAGCACAGGAUGCUCUGCUCAGGAUGUGCCUCAUGCAUCACACACCUGUUUGCAAGCCAUGUUUGAGCACAUGCCAGUAUACACAGGGCAAUGGAUCCCACAGCCUCACCAGGCCCAGGCAGGGAUAAGGUGCAGCACAGAAGGCAACCCCAUGUUUUGCUCUCCCUGUUGGCCUCUGUCCUAGCUGCUGAAUUUUCUGUGGUUUUGAGCAACAGUGGAAGAUCUGGAUUGAAGACCAGUAAUGAGGAGUAUUGUUCUCUCAAGCUGCUGCAGAACUAUCCUGUGAAGAAUUACGGCACACUGUGGGAUGGUGCAUGGAUCUAUUUUCAGAUAGUCGUUAUGGGGAUCUAAUUCCUUCCAGACAAAAAAGUCCCCAUCUCAGUGGCUACUUGCAGUGAGCUGUAAGUCGUACUGUGAAAAGCCCAGCACUAUGAAGCAAGACACCAGCUACUUACUCACUUCCCAUCACUGAAGUUGUACUGCCCUAUACACUGAGCUCACACUUGCCUUGUCACUGCAGACUCUGUUGACUCACUAAGGAGCAGAUCAUGAAAUCCCAAAGGAACAUCUAGGAGGAUGUCUCCUUGCUGUCCGACAGCCACGGUACCUCAUAAAGAUGAGAAGAAACUCUGUAGUGUGCCUCCCUUUGUCCCUUAUUUCUCUUUUGCAGAGUAUUCCAUGAUGACCCUAGCAGAGACCCUUUUAUGCUUUUGAGUAAAAUUCCCACUGUUCAGCCGGCUUUUAAACGUUUAUUUCAAGGAUAAUUUUAAGUGUAGGUUUUCAUUAUUAGAGACAGAAACUAGGCAUGCGAAUCCAUUCAUUACUGUGCUCUGACUUUUCCAAAGUAUCUCCCAAUCUACAUUAAUCAGAAGUAAUGAGAGGAGACAAGGGUUAGAAAAAUGUGUUUCCAUGAAGAGUUUCUUCAUGAUUUUUCUGCUGUAAAUUCCAUAUGUAAUGUAAACUCAUGCAAAAUGCCUCCAACGGAAUGCCAAAAUGACAUUUUUGGAUGAUCCCUGACUCCGUAAUGCUCCAAGGCACUCAGUGCCCCAGAGCAAAAACAAGGACAGAGGUGCCGAGGGCAAAGGCUGGGAUGUGGACAUCUUAGAAGGCUCCAGGCGUGCCACUGCAAGGAGUGCUGAGGGCAGGUCGGCUUGGCUGGCAGGUGUGAAAUUUCACCACAGAAAUGUCCACAGGCAUAAAGAGCAGGCCUCUGGCAAGCUGCUUUUGUCCAACUUCCCUGCCAAGUGCCAGGGCUCACAGUAACCGUUCUGCAUGCAAGUCAGAACAAAACCAAAUCCCAGCUCCAACAUUGUUCUGCUCCCACAUGGCUAUCACUGAAAUCAUCUUGCAUUUUGUGGGCGCUUGGUAUUAAGCGUGGUAGUUAGAGCUGACAAGAUUCACAGAGGCCAUAAGCCAAAACACCAGAACAGGUUUACUAUUUGGUCAGGAACAACAGUUCAGAGGGACAGCAUGGCAGGUACUGGAUGGUGUGGCAGAGGACAUCCAAGCCAAGUGACAGCAGGACACAGUCUUCAGUAAUUACAGAUAAAGCACCUGGCAUUUGCUAGUGUUCUUAGAAGAUCCAGUGAAGGAAAACAUCUGGGGAAGUAGAUUGUAGAUUUAUGGCAAAAAGCAAUCGUUCAGAUUUUAU
ensembl:lncRNA